AGUGAACGCUGGCGGUAGGCCUAACACAUGCAAGUCGAACGGCAGCACAGUAAGAGCUUGCUCUUACGGGUGGCGAGUGGCGGACGGGUGAGGAAUACAUCGGAAUCUACUUUUUCGUGAGGGAUAACGUAGGGAAACUUACGCUAAUACCGCAUACGACCUACGGGUGAAAGCAGGGGAUCUUCGGACCUUGCGCGAUUGAAUGAGCCGAUGUCGGAUUAGCUAGUUGGCGGGGUAAAGGCCCACCAAGGCGACGAUCCGUAGCUGGUCUGAGAGGAUGAUCAGCCACACUGGAACUGAGACACGGUCCAGACUCCUACGGGAGGCAGCAGUGGGGAAUAUUGGACAAUGGGCGCAAGCCUGAUCCAGCCAUACCGCGUGGGUGAAGAAGGCCUUCGGGUUGCAAAGCCCUUUUGUUGGGAAAGAAAAGCAGCAGGUUAAUACCCCGCUGUUCUGACGGUACCCAAAGAAUAAGCACCGGCUAACUUCGUG
rnacentral:rRNA from 1 species